AGGGGUGCUCUCUGUGCGUGAGGGACAUGGCAAUCGAAUUGUCUCACACAGAAAUCGCACCCUCU
ensembl:miRNA ocu-mir-342 ocu-mir-342